AAUUGCUGAUCACUUUUCUAUCUCUAACCCUGCUCCUCUCUCUCUAUAUCUUACUUUCUCAUCUACUACUUUCUCUUUCACACACAAGUUCUCAUCUACUACUCUCUCUCUCACACACACACAAAAGUUAAACCUUGUGUAUUGGGGAUGGUAAUGGUGUUGGAUCCGUAUAAAUGAAUCGAAGUUUGAAGGAAUCUCUGAUCAGAGGGAGGUCGCAGCACCGGUGAGGUCUUAGUCUCAACGGAAUCUCCAAGGAUACGAACGAGAACUUGGACCUCUUCUCUAGGAAUCGCCAGACUCUCUUCAUUGCUUUGUCCUACGAAUCGGACGUACUUUCAAUGAAAUUGAGGAGACUUUCAGUUGUAUCCAUGAAGGACUUGUGUCAUGAUGUAUUUGGGAUAUCAAAGGAAAAGAAAGAUCCAAGAGAUGUGAAAGGGAACCAAGAUCAUUAUAAUUUAACCGGCUUUCAGGGAAAAUCCCAUCGGUAAUUGGCCUGAUGCAGACACUCGCCAUGUUAGAUUUAAGCUGCAAUAUGUUGAGUGGAGCCAUCCCUCCUAUUCUAGGAAAUUUGACUUACACAGAGAAAUUGUAUCUGCACGGUAACAAACUUACUGAUCCAUUCCCCCAAAGCUUGGAAAUAUGACAAAGUUCCACUAUCUAAAUGUGCAUGGGAACGAGUUGAAUGGGACUAUACCUCCUAUAUUUGAAAGGCUGGAGAGUAUGACAUAUUUAUUUCGUUUGGAAAUGAAGAGCAGGCAGCAACAGAUCUUAGGUCGGACUUGCUUGAUGGUGAUGAUGACACCUAUUGGCUCAUUCUAUUAUUUUUAUGAUCUGAUUGUUUCCUUCUUCUAUUCUUCUAUUUGGGACUUAUUUGAUGCAUAAUUGUAGUUUGUAUUAAUACGAAUACAAGUUAUUUGUUUCUAAUACGUUAUAUGUUUUAUUUCAA